GAGUGCGUAAUAGCUCACUGGUCGAGUGACGAUGCGCCGAAGAUUACCGGGGCUAAAACCUGACACCGAAGCUUGGGGAUAGACGAGAGUCUAUCGGUAGAGGAGCAAUCUGUAAGAGCAGAAGCGAAAUCGUAAGGUUUCGUGGAUUUUACAGAAGAGAGAAUGCCGGCAUGAGUAGCGAGAGGAAAGUGAGAAACUUUUCCGUCGAAAGCCUAAGGUUUCCUGGGGAAGGUUCGUCCACCCAGGGUAAGUCGGGACCUAAGUGGAGGCCGAAAGGCGUACAUGAUGGACAACAGGUAGAUAUUCCUGUACCACGACACGGAUAAGAGCAGGGACACAGAAGGAUAGUUGGACCAUGGGGAUGGAAACCAUGGACAAAUCAAGAGGCUGAGCAGUAGGAAGAAAACGCUGCUUAAAAGGCUGGUUGAUGAUGUGGAGUGAAAAAUAGUAGCGAAGCCAAUGAAUUCACGCUGGCGAGAAAAACUGCGUACUUAGAAGAAGUGAAGUGCCCGUACCGCAAACCGACACAGGUAGGCGGCAAGAGAAUUGCAAGACGAACGGGAUAACCAUUGUUAAGGAACUCGGCAAAAUGACCCCGUAACUUAGGGAUAAGGGGGGCCUACGCAAGUAGGCUGCAAAAAAUAGGCCCAAGCGACUGUUUAUCUAAAACACAGGUCUCUGCGAAAGCGCAAGGUGAGGUAUAGGGGCUGACGCCUGCCCGGUGCUGGAAGGUCAAGGGGAAAUGUUAGGAGCAAGUCCGAAGCAUAGAACUUAAGCCCCAGUGAACGGCGGCCGUAACUAUAACGGUCCUAAGGUAGCGAAAUUCCUUGUCAGGUAAGUUCUGACCCGCAUGAAUGGCGUAACGAUUUGGGCGCUGUCUCAACAAUGGACCCGGCGAAAUUGUAGUAUAUGUGAAGAUGCAUAUUACCCGCGACUGGACGGAAAGACCCCGUAGAGCUUUACUGUAGCUUGACAUUGAAUUUCGGUAAAGACUGUACAGGAUAGGUGGGAGACUUUGAACCAUGGGCGUCAGCUUGUGGGGAGUCGACGUUGGGAUACCACCCUAUCUUUGCUGAGGUUCUAACUCAAAGCGUUGAAUCACGAUUGAGGACAAUGUCAGGUGGGCAGUUUGACUGGGGCGGUCG
rnacentral:rRNA from 1 species